ACGGGUUGUUAAGAUGAUUCUCUUGGGACAGACUGUUUAACAUAUCCUAAAUUGAGUAGCGGUCCAGCGAGCAGGCAAGAGUUGGUCCUGUGAUGCAAAGAUUUGUGUGGUAGUACACUCUAAAAAUUAGGGAUUCAACUGGAGUUCUUCUAAGAUCCUCGAAGAACCUUAAGGUUCUUGGCAAUGAAAAACAGCCCCAAAAGGUUAUUCGAAGAACUUCUUAGGAGGUGGGUUCAUCGAGGAACCCCCAUUGUUGCUGGAGUUCUUCGGGGAACUUCGCAACUGAAAACGCCCGUGCCAAGAUUGAAUGCGCCAACAGUUUAAAAAGAACAGAACAUGGACACAAUGCAAUUGGGAUCAAGAAGAAGAUCUUCUCAAAAAUGAAUAAAAUCCAUGGAAUGGAUAUAGACCAAAA